rnacentral:rRNA from 1 species
CCCUUAGAUGUUCUGGGCUGCACGCGCGCUACACUGAUGCAUUCAACGAGCUUUCGAUCUUGCCCGAGAGGGUUGGAUAAUCUUUUUAAAGUGCAUCGUGAUGGGGAUAGAUUAUUGCAAUUAUUAAUCUUCAACGAGGAAUGCCUAGUAAGCGCAAGUCAUCAGCUUGCGUUGAUUACGUCCCUGCCCUUUGUACACACCGCCCGUCGCUCCUACCGAUUGAAUGGUCCGGUGAAGCGUUCGGACCGUGGCCUUUGGACGGUUCGCCGUCUGUUGGCUGCGGGAAGUUCGUUAAACCUUAUCAUUUAGAGGAAGGAGAAGUCGUAACA